rnacentral:lncRNA from 1 species
GAAUUGUCAAAAGGUUAUUUAUACAUUCUUAUUAGUUUCAAAGCAACUAAUGUUGUGAAUUUAAAUUAACAUACAGUUGCUAAAUAAAAUUUUACAUUUUUAUUUGUUUAUUUUGAAAUAAACUAAUAAGUAAAUACAAAUUUCAAACUUUCUAGAAUCAAUCAAUUUAGUCUCUAAACUAUCUCUCUCACCAACUUUGUUUUUAAUGGGAGGUGAACACAGCGUUCAAGCAACUCAUUUUCAUCUUG